CUGCUGCCUUCCGUAGGAGUCUGGUCCGUGUCUCAGUACCAGUGUGGGGGACCUUCCUCUCAGAACCCCUACGCAUCGUCGCCUUGGUGGGCCGUUACCCCGCCAACUAGCUAAUGCGCCGCAUGCCCAUCCGUCUCCGAUAUUCUUUCAAAACCAGACGAUGCCGUCCAGCCUCAUACGGGGUAUUAGACGCCGUUUCCGACGAUUAUCCCCCUGAGACGGGCAGGUUGCAUACGUGUUACUCACCCGUGCGCCGGUUGCCGG
rnacentral:rRNA from 1 species